ensembl:lincRNA
CCAGAACAAGACGCAGAACUUAGAAUUGUUGGUCCUUUCCCUGACGACUGUUCAAAUUCUUGGUUGCCAAGCAACAGAUGCUUUUGGCUCAUUCACAGAAAUGCCACACCCGAAAACUGGCACCAUGCCCUUCAUCCUAGAAGUCUGAAAGUCACAGAGAGCCCAGGGAAGCAAAGACCCCAGAGCAGGCGCGGCUCACCUCACUGUGUCUGCGGCUCCACACAUCUGAACGUCAGUGCCCAGGAUGGAGAGACAGGCCAGGCACGAAGCAGACCCUGGGGAGCUGGUUGCAGAACACUUACCACUUCCCGAGAAAGCCUCGUUUUGAGAGAAGAGAUCCAGGCCAGUAAAAGAAAGCAGAAAAACAGCUUCAGAGGGUGGAAGCAGCACCAGGAGAGGGAACAGUGCCCUGAAACCAAGGCAAGAGAAAUGGCCCAGAGGAAAGGGGAAGAAAGGCCGGCUGUAGGCGUGAGCCCGUCCACACACACCACCUGCACCGUGGCGCACAUGUCUUGGGACUGGCUGUGUGCGGCUGAGACAGCUGGCUGGCCCCAUGCCGGCAGGAGCAGGGCCCCGGGUGUGGGGUCCUCUGCCUGGUCCUCCUUGUAAGUCCCCGCCCAUGGCUCCUUCAUGCCACUGACAGUGCACACUUCUUCCCGACAUUUUCUCUAAACCCUUGGCUCUUUAGGAUAAUGAAGGCAUAAUCAGAAAGCUAUUUUCACAACAUCCAAAUCCUCCUCUGACAACAUUUAGCUAUUGAUGAUAGAAAACCUUCAUGUUUCCUGGAGUGCAGAUGUGAGAGCAGUAAGAAAGAAUUAAUAGCUUCACUUAUUAGCCACACUGCACUCAGACCCCACCUCGCGCACCCACCAUCUGAGACACAUGGUCUCCUGCUUCUGGGAGCCUUCCAGGCUGUUCCCAGAUUGCGGGGCUCAUUCCCUGUAGAACACUGGCAGGCUACAGUCACAUUAUGUAUCUGCUCAGCACUCAGGCAAGAAACCAUUAUGUUCACGGAUCAUUAUUGACAUCCUGACAUUUGUCACCUCCUUUCAUAGCAGUUAAAUCUUGCUUUAU